rnacentral:rRNA from 1 species
GAGUUUGAUCCUGGCUCAGGAUGAACGCUGGCGGCGUGCUUAACACAUGCAAGUCGAACGGGGGUGCCAUGAACGAAGCAUCAGUUUACUGAUAUGGAGGGAAUGGGACCCUAGUGGCGGACGGGUGAGUAACGCGUGGGUAACCUGCCCCAUACCGGGGGAUAACACUUAGAAAUAGGUGCUAAUACCGCAUAAGCGCACGGUACUGCAUGGUACAGUGUGAAAAACUCCGGUGGUAUGGGAUGGACCCGCGUCUGAUUAGCUUGUUGGCGGGGUAACGGCCCACCAAGGCGACGAUCAGUAGCCGGCCUGAGAGGGUGGACGGCCACAUUGGGACUGAGACACGGCCCAAACUCCUACGGGAGGCAGCAGUGGGGAAUAUUGCACAAUGGGGGAAACCCUGAUGCAGCGACGCCGCGUGAGUGAAGAAGUAUUUCGGUAUGUAAAGCUCUGUCAGCAGGGAAGAAAAUGACGGUACCUGACCAAGAAGCCCCGGCUAACUACGUGCCAGCAGCCGCGGUAAUACGUAGGGGGCAAGCGUUAUCCGGAUUUACUGGGUGUAAAGGGAGCGUAGACGGCAGGGCAAGUCUGGAGUGAAAGGCGGGGGCUCAACCCCCGGACUGCUCUGGAACCUGCCAGGCU